rnacentral:tRNA from 1 species
UAUAUUUAAGUGUAAGAUGCACAAUAGUUUUUGAUACUUUAAGUAACAGUUUAAUUCUGUUGAAUAUAA